rnacentral:rRNA from 1 species
GGGUGAAGUAAUGCCUAGGAAUCUGCCUGGUAGUGGGGGAUAACGUCCGGAAACGGGCGCUAAUACCGCAUACGUCCUGAGGGAGAAAGUGGGGGAUCUUCGGACCUCACGCUAUCAGAUGAGCCUAGGUCGGAUUAGCUAGUUGGUGGGGUAAAGGCCUACCAAGGCGACGAUCCGUAACUGGUCUGAGAGGAUGAUCAGUCACACUGGAACUGAGACACGGUCCAGACUCCUACGGGAGGCAGCAGUGGGGAAUAUUGGACAAUGGGCGAAAGCCUGAUCCAGCCAUGCCGCGUGUGUGAAGAAGGUCUUCGGAUUGUAAAGCACUUUAAGUUGGGAGGAAGGGCAGUAAGUUAAUACCUUGCUGUUUUGACGUUACCAACAGAAUAAGCACCGGCUAACUUCGUGCCAGCAGCCGCGGUAAUACGAAGGGUGCAAGCGUUAAUCGGAAUUACUGGGCGUAAAGCGCGCGUAGGUGGUUCAGCAAGUUGGAUGUGAAAUCCCCGGGCUCAACCUGGGAACUGCAUCCAAAACUACUGAGCUAGAGUACGGUAGAGGGUGGUGGAAUUACUACCAGGCAGAUUCCUAGGCAUUACUCACCC